rnacentral:rRNA from 1 species
GACGAACGCUGGCGGCGUGCUUAACACAUGCAAGUCGAACGGAAAGGCCCUUCGGGGUACUCGAGUGGCGAACGGGCGAGUAACACGUGGGUAAUCUGCCCUGCACUUUGUGAUAAGCCUGGGAAACCGGGUCUAAUACCGAAUAUGAUCAUCAGCUUCAUGGUCGGUUGUGGAAAGCGUUUGCGGUGUGGGUUGGGCCAGCGGUCUAUCAGCUUGUGCGGGGUGUAAUGGCUGACGAGGGCGACGACGGGUAGCCGGCCUGUGAGGGUGACCGGCGACACUGGGACUGAGGGACGGCGCAGACGCCUACGGGAGGCAGCAGGGGGAAAUAUUGCGCAAUGGGCGCGAGCCUGAUGCAGAGACGCUGCGUGAGGGAUGACGGCCUUCGGGUGGUAAACCUCUUUCAGCACAGACGAAGCGCAAGUGACGGUAUGUGCAGAAGAAGGACCGGCCAACUACGUG